rnacentral:tRNA from 1 species
UCCUAGUUGGCUCAGAGGUAAAGAAUCUGCCUGCCAAUGCAGGAGACACAGGUUCGAUCCCUGGACUGGGAA